rnacentral:rRNA from 1 species
AGUGAACGCUGGCGGUAGGCCUAACACAUGCAAGUCGAACGGCAGCACAGUAAGAGCUUGCUCUUACGGGUGGCGAGUGGCGGACGGGUGAGGAAUACAUCGGAAUCUACUUUUUCGUGGGGGAUAACGUAGGGAAACUUACGCUAAUACCGCAUACGACCUACGGGUGAAAGCAGGGGAUCUUCGGACCUUGCGCGAUUGAAUGAGCCGAUGUCGGGUAGCUAGUUGGCGGGGUAAAGGCCCACCAAGGCGACGAUCCGUAGCUGGUCUGAGAGGAUGAUCAGCCACACUGGAACUGAGACACGGUCCAGACUCCUACGGGAGGCAGCAGUGGGGAAUAUUGGACAAUGGGCGGAAGCCUGAUCCAGCCAUACCGCGUGGGUGAAGAAGGCCUUCGGGUUGUAAAGCCCUUUUGUUGGGAAAGAAAGCAGCAGGUUAAUACCCCGCUGUUCUGACGGUACCCAAAGAAUAAGCACCGGCUAACUUCGUG